rnacentral:rRNA from 1 species
GAGUUUGAUUAUGGCUCAGGAUGAACGCUGGCGGCGUGCUUAACACAUGCAAGUCGAACGAACGACUAUUAACAGAACCUUUCGGGGCGAAGAUGAUAGAAGUUAGUGGCGGACGGGUGCGUAACGCGUGGGUAAUCUGCCUUUGUCAAAGGAAUAACUAUUCGAAAGAAUAGCUAAAACCGUAUAAAAUAUUAAUAGGGCAUCCUAAUAAUAUCAAAACGAUAGUGGACAAAGAUGAGCCCGCGUCUGAUUAGCUAGUUGGUGAGAUAAAAGCCCACCAAGGCAACGAUCAGUAGCCGACCUGAGAGGGUGAACGGCCACAUUGGAACUGAGACACGGUCCAAACUCCUACGGGAGGCAGCAGUGGGGAAUAUUGCACAAUGGGGGGAACCCUGAUGCAGCAACGCCGCGUGAGUGAAGAAGGCAUUCGUGUCGUAAAACUCUGUAGUAGGGGAAGAAAGAAAUGACA